UACGUAGGGGGCAAGCGUUGUCCGGAUUUAUUGGGCGUAAAGAGCGUGUAGGCGGCCAAGCAAGUCUGCUGUGAAAACUCGAGGCUUAACCUCGAGCUGUCGGCGGAAACUAUUUGGCUAGAGUCCGGAAGAGGAGAGUGGAAUUCCCGGUGUAGCGGUGAAAUGCGCAGAUAUCGGGAAGAACACCAGUGGCGAAGGCGGUUCUCUGGGACGGUACUGACGCUGAGACGCGAAAGCGUGGGGAGCGAACAGG
rnacentral:rRNA from 1 species